rnacentral:rRNA from 1 species
CGGUAAUUCCAGCUCCAAUAGCGUAUACUAAAGUUGUUGCAGUUAAAAAGCUCGUAGUUGGAUUUCUGCGGGGACGGAGCGGCCGGUCGCAACUUGCGACUCGAGCUAGCGCUUUCCCCGCAUCCUGCCGCGAACCGUGCUACCAUUAGCUUGGUGGCGCUGGGGAUCGGCUCGAUUACUUUGAGAAAAAUAGAGUGUUCAAAGCAGGCCACACGCCUUGAAUAAGUUAGCAUGGAAUAAUGACUAAGGACUUCGGUUCUAUUUUGUUGGUGUUCGGGACUGAAGUAAUGAUUGAUAGGGACAGUUGGGGCGGUCUGUAUUCCAAAGCGAGAGGUGAAAUUCUUAGACCUUCGGAAGACAAACAGCUGCGAAAGCGUUCCGCAAGGAUGUUCCCUUUGAUCAAGAACGAAAGUUGGGGGAUCGAAGACGAUCAGAUACCGUCGUAGUCUCAACUAUAAACUAUACCAGCUAGGGAUCGGUCAACGUUUAAUCAUUCGACUUGAUCGGCACCUUAUGAGAAAUCAAAGCAUCUGGGUUCCGGGGGGAGUAUGGUCGCAAGGCUGAAACUUAAAGGAAUUGACGGAAGGGCACCACCAGCCGUGGAGCCUGUGGCUUAAUUUGACUCAACACGGGAAAACUUACCAGGUCCAGACAUAGUAAGGAUUGACAGAUUGAUAGCUCUUUCUUGAUUCUGUGGGUGGUGGUGCAUGGCCGUUCUUAGUUGGUGGAGUGAUUUGUCUGGUUAAUUCCGUUAACGAACGAGACCCCAGCCUGCUAAAUAGCGCGGCUGAGCUUUGCUCGGUGCGAGCUUCUUAGAGGGACUAUGAUGCGCGAUAGCACAUGGAAGUUUGGGGCAAUAACAGGUCUGUGAUGCCCUUAGAUGUUCUGGGCCGCACACGGGCUACACUGGCGCCUGCAACGAGCAUAUCAGCUGGCCCGAGAGGGUCUUGGCUAGUCUUUUGAACCGGCGCCGUGCUUGGGAUUGACCAUUGCAAUUGUUGGUCAUGCAACGAGGAAUGCCUUGUAAACGCGAGUCAUCAGCUCGCAUUGAAUACGUCCCUGCCCUUUGUACACACCGCCCGUCGCUCCUACCGAUGAAUGUUCCGAUGAAAUUUUCGGAGAGCGCCAGAGAACGGGGCUCUGCCUUGCAGAUCUGGAGGCUCAAAGUCACUUAAAUCUGAACAUUUCGAGGAAGGAGAAGUCGUAACAAGGUAGCCG